rnacentral:lncRNA from 1 species
GUGACGCCCCCAAAAUAGGUAUACAACACCCAUUCUGAGUCGCCAAAAUACAUGGUAUAGAAAGCAAACUACAACUUUGACAAUACAGAUGUCGUGUAGAAUACGACAAUACAACUGUGAGUUUGAAUACAAAUAUUGUCUUCUAGACAAUAUACACACCCAAAUAAGUCCUCAUUAAUUAUUCAUACACUAUUUUACAGAAAUAGUGAGGACAGCUAAAACAUCUUCCUAGAACCAUCACUCCAUACCCCGACUCGAUCCUGCUAUGUUCUCACCUCCUGAGAAGAAAAAUGGAACAAAAAGGAAAAGGGUGAGCUCAACUAGCCCAGUAAAGAAUAUUAUGACUAAGAUAAUAUACAACAAAUUAUCGUUAGUCUUCAACAGGGAAAAAUCUAAUAGAAUACAAUAGACAACAAGUUUUAGAUCAACAAAUGCAGCGGAAACAGCAAUCCAUUAGAAGAGUCACGUAGAGAAAGAAUUCUACUGUCUUCUAAGGUUUAAAAGUCCAUCAUCAAUAGUUUAUCCCUGUAAUAACAAUCAAUAUACAUCUUUAAUCAUCUUUGCACUACAGGCCAAAGAUAUUCAUUUGUAUCACCAGUUGGUCAUGUUCAUCUCAACACCUGUUCAUCUUUGCACUACAGGCCAAAGAUAUUCAUCAGUUAAUCGUUCAUCUUUGCACUACAGGCCAAAGAUAUUCAUUUAUAUCACCAUUUAGGACUGAGGAUGAUGAAAAACAUUUUUAAAGAAACGAAUCCAGUGAAACAAAAUGACAAGGAUUAAGGAUUAAGGAUUCGUACUUUGUUUUACCCAUGUCCAAAAAUACUUCGAAAAUAAUCAUAUUGGUGUAAAAUUCAAGAAUGAUCAAAACAUGGAUACAAUCAAAGCUAGUAUCCAGAAUAGAUAUUUUGGACAAAAAGAAAAAUUUUUAUUUUUCGGUGAAUAGUGCCGUAUUCGUGAAUAGUGUCGUAUACGUGAAUAGUGCCGUAUACGUGAAUAGUAACCCCGACACAACAAGUUCCAAAUUUGAUAAAAAAGUUCACCAAUACUUCGGCAUAAUGAUAUUGAAAAAAAAAUAUCAUUUAAGAAGAAAAUAAUACCCCUUACCUCAAAAUAAUCGUACUUCUGACUGAAUUUCGGUAUAGUGCUGACAGAAACCCGCACCGUAUAGCAACACUCAAAGUAUACUCACAAGAAUACGCUCGAUAAUUUAGAGAGAGAAAGAGAGAAAACUUAGUUUCUGGUGUGAUUUUCAAUUCUAACUUAGCCCUCUAUUUAUAGGAAAAUGUUAGAACGCCAAAGGAGAC